CAAUAAUCUAUACCUUAUUGCUUAAAAUAACCCUACUUUCUAAGUUGGCAUAUUUGCCGCUUGUUUCCAUAUCUUCUGAUAAUUCAAAAAAUUUAACUUUUGUGGUACCCACUGCCCGAGCACCAUGUCAAGGCUCACAUAUUCUUCCAAAACCCUCGACGAAGGAAAUCCAAGUUUGGACCUGCGGCGCCGAUCUCCACCGUCACCCAGCGGCGCCUACCUCUUGCCCAUCGUCACCCAGUUUGCAAGAUCUCCUCCGACGUGCAGCAGCGGCGCCGAUCAGUCAUCAUGGAAAAGAACUCUGACCCGAAGAAAAAAAGAGAAGGGAAACAGAACUUAAGUCCACCUGAAGAGUGAGCAAAAUUUGAGAAAAAUGGGUAUCAAUUGCUUUUUCUUUAGUGCACUUGCAAUUUCUCAGGCUUAUCACACUUAGACAAUUUAUAUUCAACCUUAAGCAGGCUGUUUGAAGUGGACCAUUUGGAUGGAACGGAAUCAUCACUCCUUCGAGGAUACUGAGAAAUUAUUGGGUCAGUUGCAAGGAUAUCAGGGCAUUGUUUCCUUCCCAUUGCAAUCCGUUCUAGGCUGGUUUUGGAAACAAAGAUACUGAUGACUUCAGCUAUCUUAAGGUGGAAUUCCUAAAGGAAAAAUCUUCAUUAUUAAUUCCAGGGUAAUUUAGUGCCUUCAUGGUUUAAAAAUAGCAGUCUAAAGCCUCUAUUAUUGUUAUGCCAAAGUUUCAAUAUAUUUUUGCAGGGUGAGGUUGCUGUUAACCGUUGUGUUGACACCAGAUUGUAUAGCACACUUCAUGCUCUUGUUAAUGGCAUGUUUCCAUCAAUGUCCUUGUCUGACCAGGUUUAGUUUGCAACCCUUUUGUGUGUGUGCGCGUGUGUGUAUUAAGUACAACCCCUUUCUAUUCUGAAGUUGCAAUCAUUGAGGAGCUUUAUUGGAAAGCAGUGAGUAAGAAAGUGAACUCAGCAUUUGCAGCUGCUCUAAUCCUCUUUCCUUUUUCCUGCACCUGGGAAUAUGUACUUAGCACAUUGGUUGCUGAAGGCAAUGAGGUUCAGGAGUUCUUAUUAUAUUUAUCUCGUGGGAAAAGUAAUCCUACUUUUUGCUACUGUCUUGUUUUCAACUUUUCAGUCCUUCACACGAGCAGUGUAUUAACUGAGUUAGAUGUUAGCUCAAGUAACUUGACAUGCCCAUCCUCUACUCAACUUAACUAGUCUUUGAUGUUUAGGAAUUGAAUGUUAGCUUAAGUAACUUUACAUUC